rnacentral:snoRNA from 1 species
ACCCUCCAGAUAAUUUACCCCUUGGAUCUAAAUAUCAGUCUGAGUGGCUAAAAAAAGACAAAAGUAUUUUUGAAGUGGAUGUGGAGUCUUGAGUGACAUACCAGUCAAUUUCAAACAUGA